AUGGUUGCCAGGCUUCUCUUCUCUGUGGCUCUGUGUCUCCUGGGGGCAGGACACUUGGAUGCCAAAGUCACCCAGAGUCCAAGAUACCUGGUCACAGGGACAGAAAAGGAGGUGACAGUGAAGUGUGACCAAACUUAUAACCACGACUACAUGUACUGGUAUCGACAAGACCCAGGCCAUGGGCUGAGGUUGAUCUAUUACUCAUAUGGUGUUGGCAUGAUUGACAAAGGAGAGGUCCCCAAUGGGUACAUUGUCACCAGAUCAAACACAGAGCACUUCCCCCUCACGCUGGAGUCGACCACCCCAUCCCAGACAUCUGUGUACUUCUGUGCCAGCAGUGACUCCACAGAAUUGCACAGCUGCCUCCUCUCUGUACAAAAAGUGUCUUUAGAAAGACUGAGGUUGCACUCUGAGUCCUGGCCCCAACCCCAGGAAGUCCCUGCCAGUGUGGGGGCCUUGACGCAGUGGGCAAUAUGA